rnacentral:RNase_P_RNA from 1 species
GCUGCCGGACGGCUCGUCGCUCGCCGCCCUAUGGUUGCGAGAGGAAAGUCCGGGCAACGCAGAGCACCAUACUUUCUAACGGAAAGCUGUCGGAAAUCCAAGAUAACGGCAGAGUAACGUGACAGAAAAUAACCGCCCGAUGCGAUCUCUUCUUUUCUGGGAAGAGACGCGCGCGGGUAAGGGUGAAAAGGCGGGGUAAAAGCCCACCGGCGCCGAUGGCGACAUCAGCGGCCGCACGUCUUAUGGGUUGCAAGGUCAAGUAUACCGGCAAUUAAGGGUUGCUCGCCCGUUGCCGGGGGGUAGACUGCUAAAGCGCGCGUGGCAACACGCCGCUCAGAUAAAUGACGGGCCGGCACCGGGGUUCGCCUUAUGCGAUAACUCCGGCGACCGACAUAACCCGGCUUAUAGUCCGGCUGUCUCU